AGAGUAUGCAUGAAGGGGGCUGGUGCUAUGUUAACACACGUGUCCAACAGAUGGCGCUGUCUCCUCAUUGACUGAUGACACGUGCGUCUGUACAAUGCUUUGUUGCGACAUCCUCACAGCCCCUUAGUGACACCUCACAGUCCUCUAAUGACACCCUCACAGUCCCCUAGUGACACCCUCACAGUCCCCUAGCAACACCCUCACAGUCCUCUAGUGACACCCUCACAGUCCCGUAGUGACACCCUCACAGUCCCAUAGUGACACCUCACAGUCCCCUAGUGACACCUCACAGCCCCCUUGUACUGUUCAGUCACAGCAAACUGCGCGGUCAUAGCCUGCAUCGCGUGAACCCACAGGUCAUUGGCAUGACAACGGUGUACACUGUACACAAAUGUGUCAACCUGUUUAACAGGAAGCCAUGACAGUCAUGUCCUCUUGUGCCUCACUUGCCUGUCACAGGACCGACAUUAUUAUUGUACAUACACACAUCCCGUGUUGUUGUGAAGACAGGGGGCGCAUUAUGACGGCGGCAUCUCGGGAAGGCAGACCUACUGGAAGUUGGGAAUGAGGAGAGCUUGGUGUAUCCAGGGUGCACACAUCCAGAAUAUUCUACCGUCGUGCGUCACUUCACUGUCAGCUGUCUGUGAUGUCAGCUCGGCAGGUGUGUGGGUGACGUCAUGGUGACCACAUGAUACUAUGACCACGAUAGAUGAGUGCGGAAGGUGAGGAAUCAGCUGUGUUUAUGGAAUGUUUAUGGUAGACCACCACACAGCGGCCAUGUUUACCAGCCAGCAGCAGACAGGUGUGUGUUGGAUCCGCGCGGUUACCUGCAGUCGCCGACUUUUGGAAAUAUGGGGCAAGGCCGCUGGACCUGACCUCGCCUGACCUGGCCUCGUUCCUGGGCUGCAGGUAAACUGGGUCACAGGCUGCUGAGUUGUUACCUGUGGUUCCCUGGGAGGCGGGUGGUUCUCUCAUCCAACGACUUGCCGAUGUACCCGUUGUUUCCUCCAGGUUUUCUGUAAAGGCGGCGCCACACGGGGUUUUGCAAAAACCGCUUUCUUGUGAAACAGCCUCGUUUUCUUGUAAAGCAGCCGCUUUGCCGUGUGGCAUACCGCGCAACGCGUUUGACGAAACCGGAAGGAAACCAGGUUUUCCUCGUGUUUUCUGAAAUAGAACUUGCUCUAUUUUGGAGGGCGGUUUUACAACAUGGCUGCCACAGCCACACGCUCGCUUGGAAAUUUCAAUGAUGAAAAUACCUGAUAUUUGAUUGAGCUUUUUCAAAGCCACCAGGAAUUGUGAGACCCUAGGAAAGAAAAAUACCGUAACAGACCAUUGAAAACGGGUCUGUGGCUUUCUUUACAGGUUUCGUUCUCGAAAAUGACAGGGAUCGACUGCACAGCUGACAAUAUCCAAGCAAAGGUAGCCAGCCUCCAAAACACAUUUUCAAGGGCAAUGCGUAAAAUAAAUAAAUAAAACCAAAGUGGGGCUGGAGCAUAUGUGAUGUCUACAACAGUUCAUGGCCCUUUUUCCAGCAGUUGAAAUUCCUGUUGCCAGUAAUGUCUCUAGUGGCACCAACAUCUUCAAACUUGGAAACACAAGUGGUGAAUCACCAACAGCAAGGCGAAGACGAUUAUUUCUACCAGUGCCAAACAGAAAAGGAAUUCACUGAAACUCAGUCUGAAGGGGUGAAAGAGGAUGACCCAGCACUUUCACUCACUUCAAGCCCUUGCAGGUCAAGAAGUGACUACUCAGAUGCAGGCAAAAUGGCAAGAAAAAAGAUCAGGGGGAUGAUCUGACUAAGUGCAUCAAAGAUCAUUACAGAAAUAAACAUAGACCAAAAGAGGGCCCUGAACUCAUGUGGGCAAAAAAUCUUACUAAAAAAAUUUCAGAAUUACCAGAUAUUACAUAAAGAAAGCUUAUAAAACUAGAUAUUGACGACCUAGCAAGGAAUGACUAGGACCUCUACACUUAAAGGAAUUAAUUUUUUUUUUCUGUAGGUGCUUUUGUGUCUAUGACCUUGACUGAAAUAAAAACAUUUGCAUUGUAUGUGAGUCACAAUUUUCUCAUUGUCUGAUUGAAUAUAUCACUGCUGUGCUAGUGUAGUGUAUUGAGAAUGGUUCAAAACAAAACAGACCCCCCCCCCAA